CUUCUUCGCAGCGCAAUACCACUCUCGUGACAGCAUUCGCCAUCUUGCUGAGGUGGACUGAUUCGCUACAACUUCCCGAAUCAGUCGUGCGGUCACUCUGCGGCGAAACAUUUAUUUUUGACAAAAUUCAGGAAUAAAUAGAAUCCAUUUGCUGCCCUUGGCAUUCAUUCUACAUCCCGGAAGUCUCCACGACGCAUGAGCGAAACGUAGAAUUGGUAUUUCUUAUUCCAUAACGAUCUCGGGCUGAAAUAUUUCACGUGUCACACGUUUCUAUACAGUCGAUGGAUUGUCGAUUUUUACGCAAUUACAAAUGAAAGUAGACGCGGGACACUCGCUUGUUUGAUACCGCGAUGAAAAGCUUGGUCGCCAUAUUGAUCGCACCUGCGCGUUUAAUAUGACUGUGAUCCCGCGGUUCUGCGACUUGAAUCAAGGAAAAGAAUCAUGGAAAUCUGGUCUAGAAUGCGAUCACCGUAUAGAUUAAAAGGAACUUUAUGUUGGAUGCUAUUAUACGAAGGAAGCAAGGGAACGAAUGAUGAAUCAUAAUAUGGAACCGGGGAAAUACGUGUGUACGAAACGCUACAAAAUGGGUAUACGGGUCCGAAGUGACCCGGUAUUGGUUGAGCGAGCCAAACGAACGAACCGGUUGUUUUACCGUACACAUUGACAGUGACGCUGACUUUUUGCAGUAAAGUAGUAAAUAGCAUCUACGGCAAGUUGCCAUUUAAGGUUACGUUUCCAUAGAUGGUGGCGCCACGUAUACAAUCAUACAGGGUAUUUUCCACGAUCACGGACAGAGGCUUAAAGUGAGUCACUCGUUCAAAUAGCAGUGUCCGGUUCGUCGCAACGCUAUCAUAGAAGAAAAUAGACGACGAUGCAUCCGGUAUAUCGAUCAGCACUCUCGCCCCCUAUCAAGAAACCAGCAUGUUUCGAUGCGAGACACCACUGUUCCGGCCAGGCGUUCUACUCUACAGAAGUCAGAAGAACAUCGGCAAGGAGGAUCGGAUGAACUCGGAUCGCGCCGCUUCGAACACACGAUUCUCCACGGUCUCUGUGUCUCAGCACUCGUGGAGAAGAGCGAGAAAAGAAUCGAGACCAACGAAAGCGUUCGUCUCAAGUGACGCAGCCUGGCACUGACGCGCGUUACUGCACGCGGUGCUAUUUAAGCCCUCGCAGCGAGUUGCCGCGAGUCUCUCCCACCAGAGAUGCAUCUUGGAUCAGCUGACUACUUUGUUUCGAUUCCCUCUCUUUGUUUGAAAACAACUGUAGGGACACGUUGCAACGCGGUGCGCGGAUUGGCCUUGGCCGCAUCGGCAACCCAUCGAAAUUGGUGCUCGCCGUUCAGCAUAGGAAGGUCGCCUCUAGAUCUCCAGGAUCCUCUUCCGCUUUGUCUCGCGGGACAACGCGGCGAGAUCUUUUCGGGAACCGAUUGGAUUUUCCGCGUUGCACCUUGUCCGCAAGUCGAGGUCAGCCAUUGAGUUUUCCCUGUCCAGAACAGAAAUAGUCGGACACGCGGUUGCGGCCGCGCAAAGGUCUCCCCGGACAACUUCUCUGAAAGAUACGCGAACAGCCGGGCUUCGAUGGAAACAGGAAGAGCUCGGCUGGAUGCAAACACCUUCUAUGACUCAUCUGACGACGCGAACACUGCCGCAACGAGCUCCGUGUUCCCGAUCGCGUCGAUUAGAUUAACGCAUCGUUAUUAUCAUCCUCCCGUAUCCUAUCGCAUUUUGUGGAAAAGCGACAAAAGUCUCUCGCAGUUUCGACGACUGCGUUACAGCCGCGCUUCCUGUUACGCUCUGUUACGGAAUCCGCGUUCCCUUGUAUCGUACUCUUUAAUUAACGCCAAGUUUCUUUCAUCUUUAAUUCAUGAGACGCUAAAGAGCAAUUUCGAACGUAGAUCAAUAUUUCCGGUGUUAUCCGUUUGUCGUUACGCAAUGGGAGAGGCGUGAAGGAAGCGUUCGCGAUCGCGUUCGUCGGCCGCUUUAUGAAACGGUUCUCCCUGGUGUUUGAUUCUGUGUCGCUGUUCGGAUAUUUUAUAUUUCAUGUUCUAUCGCGAGGGGUUACAUAAAUGCGCAAUUAGCGGCGCACCUCGCGCGCAACCAAAAGUCCUCCUGGCCGCUCGGGUCUGACGCGCUUCCGGCUAGCCGCGUGCGAAGGCGAAAGCUUUGUCGAGUCGUUUCUCUGAAAGAUAUUCUUUAAACGCUAAAAGCGUCGUUGGAAGUACAAGGUCACGCAAAUACAAGAAACGACGAUAAUCGUCGUCGCCGUCGGCACGAUGCCUACUGCGCCAUUGCGCGACACUCUUUAUUCCAGCAAGCGUUACUGCCGGGCUCUUUUCACCGUUUGUUUCCAAAGAUAACGCCUAGGGUUUGUUUUUAACAGACGAGAGCAAUAAAAUGCUCCUUUCAGGAAUAAGUACGUAGUGGUCCGCGAAUCGAAGAAAUAGAAUCGGAGAUAUCGGGCACUCCUCGGUGGGAUUACCGAUUGAUAGAGCAUCAUCCCGUAGAUCGGGACGAAGAGCACAAUUAACGAAGGAACCAUUUUAAAAUGGAACACGUGCACGGUCGUUUCGUCGCGAUAAUAAACAACGAAACGAGCGCGUCUGGAGCAGUUGGCAAAAUUGCCAGCUCCAGCCUCUCGUCCUCUUCGCCCCUGUCUCGUCUAUCACGAACAAAAGAGAGCAGCGAACGGAGUUUUGGCGCGCGUCGUGGGAUUCGAGAUCAAGAAGCGUGCACGUUUCGCCACAUUAAACAACGAUUCUACGGCUUUCUCCUCGAGAUCCAACGCGCUGGUUGGCUCGCGAUCGCGAACUGCUGUGGGAAAUUUGCGCCGCGAUACUCCGACGAAAACGGACUUAUUCAAACAAAUACAAAGCGUUCGCUUUUGUUCUUCAGGCGUCGAACAGUUUCCAGGAAGAGGAGGAUUCGACAGCCUUGGGGUAUUCCAGGAUUAUCAGCUGGAAAACAAUUGAGCGACCGCCGGUGGAUCGUCAUCGAUCGGCUCUUUUCUUCUCCGGAGGACUUUGCUCUCCAUUCAUCGCGCAGCCCAGCGCCCAACAGGGAUAAAAUGUUUAUACGAAUCGUCGGUAUGCUUGGCAUGCGGCCAGAGGAUACUGCGCGUGCAUUUCGCGGACCAGAAUAGAUUCGCGGGCCAAAUCUCCCAUGACUUCUCGUUCGUCGUGCUCCUGUUCGCUUUCGCGCGCGCGGAGGAGCGUGCGCGUGCGAGAUAAAAGCUGCAAGCGGAUCGAGAUCGAUGCACGCGGCUUCUGCGCACACGUGUGCAUCUCUCUGCUUUCCCCUCUGUCGCAAUCUCUCUCGUUCUUGCUAGCCCGCUCGCGCGUAUAUCAGCUUGAAACGCGUUUUCGGCUGUUCCAGUCGCCGGCGGGUCUGCUCGAGCCGUAUGGGCGCGGAUCGACUGAUCCGGUGCCAACGACACGCGUCUCGACGAGGGCAAGUAGAUCAUUGGCACCGCGAGUCGUCGAUGACUUUGCGUUUCCGAAAACGACGCGCAAUUUUACGGCAGACGCGCGAUUCUGCUCGAUCGCUCGCCAACUCUGGCGCGUCACAGUCGCAGAUGGAAACAACGAUGUUCCGCGAAUAAAAUCGCGCGAAGAAUAGAUCUUCAUUUUGUCGUCCGGUGACCUUCCGGUCGUAAACGUUUACGGAGACGCAACGCGAGACAAACAAAACGGGUACGACUAAAAUUUUGACGAAAUCAACGAAAUAGAUGCGAUACAGUUUACACUGAUAUGGACCAUGCGAUACGAUAAAGUGAAAGAAUUAUUCGUUGAACGAACACUUCGAGUUUUGGAGAAUAAUGGUAGUUUUCCUGAGUGCUAUAGCAAAACGGACGGAGAGCGCUCGGAACUGCGGAUUCGUUGCGAGCACGCGAGGCGUUGGCCCUAUAAAAUCGCUCGACUUUGACGCAGGUUCUUUGUGCGGCUACUGCGUCGUCCGUUUUUCGAGUAUUUUCAUGUUUACUCAGAAGUCGGACGUCCCGUGCGGAAAUGACGCCGCUAGUUUUAGGUGGGCCGACCUCGAUCCUCUUGAUUCGCGCGUGUUCCCGCGUCUAUUUCGCGCCAAUCAAAUAUUUUCCGACACUGCCGCCCGCGUUUCUCCGCUCUCAACAAAUUCAUUUACUUCUCGUUUCAAUAAUCUAUAUUCAUUUCUUUAUAUUGACUUUACAUCUUUUUAACAAUGAAUCGUAAUACCUUGCGAAGCCAGGAAAUAUAUGUAUAAUAUACAUUCAAGGCUUGUUCAACCUUCGAGUUUAUUAUGGAUGGAAUUCUAUCGUAUCGCGUGUGUUCGUCUUUAUCCGAAUGUGUAGUAUGUACGUGCGUGUUGUGUGGUGUACGCCGUACACGAUUGAAUUUUGCGCGUAGGCAAUGAUCGGGCAUCGUUAAAUCAGUCGCAGCUGACGAGGUUUUCGUUGCAGAGCUGGUUUGCCGACAGUUGUUUCGCGAUUUUUCGCAAGACAGAGAGAUAUACAGAGACUAUUCGGAGAGUACGCGCGGGUUUUCGACAACCAUUCGCUUAUGACUUCAAAGUCGACGUGUUUUACACUACUAUUGAUAUGAAAAAGAGUAACUCCUGCUCAAGACUAUCAAACGCUACUACGAAGUAUCUAUAAUUGCCCGUUACCGUCGCGUCUCAACUCAAAGACACGUUAUUUCGUUACCCUAAUUAAAAUACUUGACUAACCACAGCUACUUGAACCUACACCAAUCGAGAGAAUAAUCUAAACACUGCGCGAACGCAUUCGACGAUCCGCGUUGUACUCUGUCCUCUACUAAUACACGCAUAACCCGUAAAUACAAGCCCUUAAUUAUUUGGUGUUUUCUCCGAUAAGCUAAAAACGAUAAUAUCACGGUCAGAUUACUCACGAGUAUUGUUUCGAGGCCUAUCACGAUAUUCCCUUCGCGCGUGCUUCACAAAACAACGAAACCAAUGACUGAGGAAAUAUACGUUCUCCGGCUGUUACCGUCUAUCCGAAAGCUUUGCCGCUUUGAAUGUGUGUCGAUGUAACUGGGUUUUUAAAGCUCGCGUAGAAAGUUCACUCAAGGGUUAAAUAAAUAUGUAUGUGCUACUGUA